GCGCUACAUUAAAACAAAAAGGAAAUGUGAAUCUGUUAUUUCCAACUCGUCCUCUGAACACCACAGGAUGGCGCUAACACACACGCUGCAAGAAGUAAGUUAUACUGCCCCUCUGGACUGAUUUUGUUUCACAGAGAAUAACAUUAUCUCACAUCCCGUUCCCUUACAUCUCCUUCACUGGACAGGUCGCC